ACGAAAAUUGCGCAGUAAGGAGUCUAUUUCAGACUUUUUUAAUGUGAGCAUCGUAAUUUUCGUGUCAUUUAACCACUAAAAAGUCUAUUCGCACGGCUGUAUCUCUUGCGUGCAACAGGCCCAUUGAACAAGAAAAAUAGAAGGCGGGAGAAUAAGGAUUGUUGUUUGGACCAACCUAAGUUGAGAUCUAGCCCCAACUAAUUAGAAAUGAUCAUUUCAUCUGUGGUUGGGCCCCUAAAGUUAAGGUCCAGCCACACAGUUAGCGACGGCUGACAACACAUUGCUUUUUUCCUGAACGAUUUUUUCUGGCUAUUUUAUCAAAGCAUCCAUCAGCCAAAUCUUUCUCAAAUGGGCCAAACAAGUUAGUAUCUUCUUGCGUGAUCCGUUCCAAUUGCAGGUAUGGUCAAACUGACUUUCUGUGAAUUGCCCAAUUUGAUUGAAUAAUAGGUAUGAGAAUUAUGGACUUAUUAACCUGAUAGACUGGAUUAAUCGCCCCAAAUCACAGUAACUGUUUCUCACAAUGCCUAAUUUCCUUGCAGUGCCUCAAAACAUUUUUACAAGUGAAAAGUUAAAAGUCUGAUAUGUUUUUUAGAUAUUCCCCCUAAAAACCCAAGUCUGGCUUCUUCGUUUUUUUCGUUUUUACUAUUCCUCGUCUUGUCUCACUGAGUUAUCAUGAGUUUUGAAUUGUAAAUUUACUAAAAAAAAAUAGUGUGCAAUUAUCAUAGCAUUUAAUUAGGUCUAUAGUAUUAUAUUCAUUUUUGUGCCUGUAGGUUAGGUAAUCUCUUUUUUAUUCCUAAGUUCCAGUCUAAGAUUAAAAGUGUAGGUAAAAAUUAAGUCAUACUUGCGUCAAUUUUCACAUACUUAAAGUAUUUAAGCUUCCAACAUGCCUCUUUAUCACGAUAAGGACCAUCUACCUUCGCUUGGAGAGUUUGCAUGUAUUAUCUCAUUUACAUUUUGAUGGUGAAAGGAAAAAACAGAUAUCUCGAUUGGAUUGUUUCACAAUUUUCCCUCGUCUUUUACUUACGCGUUAUUUGUUUCGAAAGAACAUGAACUCAACAUUCUGUAAACAAUUUUCAGAAAAUAUUUUAGAAAUGACACAUAACACGGUAAAAAAUGAAAUUGCAGAUUUAACAAUUUUGUCGGUGAAAUAGGUGUCCGACAUGUUUAAAUGUAGAUUCUGCAAUAAAAAAAUGCAAAUUUAAUCACCUCUUUGGUUAAAUUAGCUUUCCACUAUUGUAAACUGUACAUGUAGAACUUGUCGGAUAUAUUUUUUAGCAAAUUAAUUGUUAAAUCAGCAAUUCAUUUUUUUCCGUGCAUAAUAACCUCAUAGAAAUGUUUUUGUCAUCGAUUAUCUGUUAUCCCAUAGGAAAGAAAAACACCGCUGGAAAUUUCAAAUUUUGCAAAUUGAGAUAUUUGUUUUUCCACUUUCAUUGCACGCUCAUUGCAACAACAUAAUUUUUAAAAAUUGCAUGAAACUACCUCGACAGAAAAAUUAAGUCACUGUGCACCAGUUAAGAGGAGUCUGUUCUAUAGUCAUAUAGGGAAUAUUUAUGCUAAAAGGAACUUUGUCUCACGCAAACGCCGUACACAUAGUUCCUUUUUGUAUAGGUUUUUGUUUUGUAUCCAUAGGUAUUAACCAUUAAGUGUGAUUCAAGUUAUAGUUUUAACGUGCCUCCGCACGUUACGAUUUUUUAGCACUCGCCAAAUCUUGUGCACUUAAUUUAUGCGAUAUAAUCCUAAUUUAUUAUUUACAAAAUCUCCUUUCAAAAAGUGACGAUUUUAUAGUAUUAGCGACGUGUUUGUAACUUCUCCUCCUCCUCCUCCUCUGCUGCUUGCUUUUUCACUUUUUUACUCUCCUGACUCGAACUCUAUUUCAAAGUCUUAUUAUUGUUAUCACAAGCAACAUUUUUCAAUAAAUUUAUAGCCAGUAAAUACAAAA